GAGGGAAAGUUGAAAAGAACUUAGAGGUGAGAGUUCACAGGGCGUGAAACCGCUUAGAAGUAAACGGAUGGUGCUGACAUUGUUUCUGCCGGAUUCAGCCGGUCUGAUGGACAACCGUUCGUUCGCUGAUCGCAAGACGGCGGGCGGAUUGUGCUUGACCUAGGACCGGUGCAUUUCCGGUAGAAUGCAUCAUGACCGCUGACGACGCUGGCAUAAGGCCGGUUUGUUGCCGACUGUAGGUUUUCGGACUUGCAGUGCCCCACUUACCGUGUCCUGUCCGAGUUGGCGUCAGCGGGAACUGGACGUGCCCGGCUUUCUCAUGCUGUGCUUUCCUUUGGCCGAAUGCACUGUCUGACCCGUGUUCGCACGGUCGGGCGACCCUCGGUCAAUCGUCUGUACAGCUUUGAGGUGGCACUGAAGGUCUAUGGUGUCCGCGUCAGUCUCCCAUCCGACCCGUCUUGAAACACGGACCAAGGAGUCUAACAUGUGCGCAAGUCAUAGGGUGGAAAACCCGAAGGCGUAAUGAAAGUAAAGGCCGCAAGGCUGAGGUGUGAUGUCUCGCUUCUGUGGGACCGCAACACCGUCCCAUCGCAUCGGCUUGUCCGGGCGGUGGAGAUAGAGCGUACAUGUUGGGACCCGAAAGAUGGUGAACUAUGCCUGAGCAGGAUGAAGCCAGAGGAAACUCUGGUGGAGGUCCGUAGCGGUUCUGACGUGCAAAUCGAUCGUCAGACUUGGGUAUAGGGGCGAAAGACUA
rnacentral:rRNA from 1 species